rnacentral:tRNA from 1 species
UCUUCAGUAGCUCAGUGGUAGAGCAAUCGGCUGUUAACCGAUGGGCCGUAGGUUCGAUACCUACCUGAAGAG